CUUUCUGAGAACCUGUGCUUUAAUGAGUAAACUCACACAGCUGCAACAAAUGCUGCCACCUCCUGGCAUCUUUUAAAAAGGCUGGAGUGCAGUGGCAUGAUCUCGGCUCACUGCAACCUCCGCCUCCCGGGUUCAAGUGAUUCUCCUGCCUCAGCCUCCCAAAUAGCUGUGAUUACAGGGAACCCGUUGUUGCUCAGACACCCGAUGUGGAAAUUUUUCUUCUCCCUCAGUUCAAAUGAGAUAAAGAUCCUCCUCUCCUCACAGUGAACAUGAGGUCACAGUGUCCAUGUAACUAACUCCUGGUUAAGAGGAUAUGGAUAGAAGGCACAUGUUCAACUUCUGGCUUCUGUCCUUGAAAAGUGUGAUGAUUCCAUCCUUUGCUGUCUUCCUUCCCGCUGACUGGAAUGUGGACUUGGUAGUGAGCUACCUUGGACUAUGUGGAUGAAGACAAAGAUAAAAGGAACCAAGGACUCUGAUGAUUCUGUAGAGAAGAGGAACCGUAGCUGCUCAAACGUUCAUGUGAAAGAAGAAUAAACUAUCAGAUUU
rnacentral:lncRNA from 10 species